AAAUAAUUAAAUAAAUUAAAUGUCAACAAUGUAAUGUCGAAAAACUAACUCUUCUUUGGGGAUGAAAAACCCUAAUGGCUCUUCUCCUGCCCAUUAUAAGACCUUCAGCCUGGAGAUAAACAAGACCAAGAUUUUGCUGAAAUUCAAGAAACACAUAAAUUAGAAGAAAAAUCAAAAAAACUAAACGUUUAAUUUACAAAGACGAAUGUUUGCGGGAGGAAUUGAAGCAAAACCUCUCGCUGCACAACCCGAGGUUCAUCCAAUCCCGUCGGCCAAACUAUAAGAUAAACCAAAUACAUAUAAAACAACGGAUAGAGAAAAAUAAUUCAAUAAACUUACGUUUCUAAAAAAUCCCAAA